UACGUAGGGGGCUAGCGUUGUCCGGAAUCAUUGGGCGUAAAGCGCGUGUAGGCGGCCCGAUAAGUCCGCUGUGAAAGUCCAGGGCUCAACCCUGGGAUGCCGGUGGAUACUGUCGGGCUCGAGUCCGGAAGAGGCGAGUGGAAUUCCUGGUGUAGCGGUGAAAUGCGCAGAUAUCAGGAGGAACACCAAUGGCGAAGGCAGCUCGCUGGGACGUGACUGACGCUGAGUGAGCGAAAGCCAGGGGAGCAAACGGG
rnacentral:rRNA from 1 species